UGAAAAACGAAUUCAAUGGGAUGAAAAAGAGGAGGGGGGAACAGGCAGGCCAGAACCAGCACCCAUGGGGUAUGAGGGGCUUCACCCAUGAAAGAAGCUAUUGGAUGUGAGCAGUGUAGUGUGACCCUGAACAAACACACUCAGCCAG